rnacentral:lncRNA from 10 species
CUCUGAGCAGCUUGCUCCAACCCCAGCCCUGUUGUCAAGUCAGGCCCCUGCUCAUAAAACUCUCUCCAGUGAGCUGUGACACACAUGAAGGUACACAUUUACAGGGAAACCUGUAAAUCAGGGAAAUCGGGACAGCCCCACACCCCUUCUCAAGGCCACUUAAAGUAGCAAAGGUGCGGCACUGGACUCAGCCUUGCGUUGGUCUCUGCACAGACUCAGGUAAUCAUCGCUGGCCUGGGAGGACGCGGCCCUCGAAGAGUUUUGGAGCAUCUCCACACUUAGAUGUUCAAUGCCUCACGUCUACUGGGAGGGAAGGUUCAGCCCUACAUGGUGCCUACUUCUUAGCCUGACAAUGGGGUAUCCAGCGGGUGAAGCAGUUGAGAAGUGGGCAGUCGACCUUGGCUUUGCCCUCCUCCCCUGAUGUAGACCCCGAGGUGCCCCACUGAAGAUGCCUUUGGGAUGGAAAACAAGCUCUUUGAAGAUUGUUUCCCAAUUCUUACAUUUGAGGCCAGGAGGAAGUUCCGAGGACCCAUCUUUCAGGAAUUGGCCGGACGUGGGCAAAUAAAUUGGAUAUCUAUUGAUCAGCACUCCUGCCAAUAACUUGGAACAUCAUUUCCCAGUCAAUGAUUUCACAAAUGAAGACACUGCAAAAUAGUGUUCGUUGCCUGUCCACUGUAGGAACUGAUUCUAAAUGUUCACUUCAGUGUGCCUGCCAGAGGAAUACAAACCCGAUACGGGUGUACUGGCCACGCGUUGGAGAGACGAAAAGGCUUACUGAACAUUCUUAGUAAAUGUGCCAUUUGUUCCUGGUGGGUGAAGCAUUUCAUGAUUCAUGCAAUAUUGUAAAUUUUUAUUUUCUUUACAUAGACUUGGCUUUUAUUGUAAUUCCUACUCUUGGGGGAAGGUAAUAUGGAUUCAUCCAAGUUAAUAAAGCCUCUUGGAGAUAACAUCUCCAGGACUCAAGGCCAUUCUCAGGGUACAAUUAAGACAUUUGUUUGCUUGGUAUUCACCACGAAGAUCCAAGGUUGCCAUCAUGCUAAGUCACUGCAUGCAUUUCAUGACAUGAACACGAGCUUUGCAUACCAUUUCAGGCAGGACAGCGAUCACAGUGGAGUCACCGUUAGAGAAGCUGAGAGGUUCUUUGGAACAAACUACAGGCCAUGAAUAAGAGUAACAAGUGUGCCACCUCAUUAGAAGGUAGGGCAGUUCAGAGGACACCGAGCCCUGGACCAAAGGUUCAGGCCACAGCAUGCAUCACUGCAUUCCACACACCCUGCUUUGCCCCGGAGCUUGGAGGUAAAUCUGGAGAGAAGAAAGAGCCGUGGUUUUCUUUUCUUUUUUUUUUUUCCUUUUUUUCUUUUU